rnacentral:lncRNA from 10 species
UUGACAGUUUGGCUUCCCUGUUCUGGGUGGCAAAGCCUGUGGAGUACUCACCUACCUGCUGCAUGAAGGCAGCAUGGAGGGACUGUGGUGGAUUAUCUGCAAAGAUGGCCAAAAUUCUCUCAUCCCUGCAGGCACAUACAAGAGAAGAACUGAAGCUCAGCUCUUCACCCUACAGAAAGCCUGAAUUUUGUAAAUGUUCUGCUUAGAAUGAGGAAGAAAGAUGAAGAAUGAGGAGGAAGAAGGAAGGAACGAGAGAGAGGUUGUUGCAUGGCAUAAGUAAAGUGACAGUUAUAGGAUACAUGCAACUUUUCAGUGACAAAGAUCUGUGCAGCAUCGACAGUACUGCCUAAUGAGGUUUCACCAUAAUGAAGUAUCACAACCAGUUUACAGACCAGAAAACUGAGACACAGGAAGGGGUGGUGACUUGAGCAAGGUGCAUCAGCUGCCAGGUUUCCAGAAGUUCCCCAGUCAUUGAGCAUUUCUGAGGCUCUUGAUGCAUAUGCCAAGUAGUUAUGGAGAAAGACACAGCAGCUUACCUCUGCAGGCAUCAUUGUGUGAAAGGAAGACCCAGGCUCUCUCACCACCCUUGAACAGAAGCCUUUUGCUAAGGUGAUAGCUACAUGUCCAAGCCUAUUGCGUGGCAUGCAUUUUGCCUUCUGCAGCCCACUAAAGGUGAGCAGUAAAUGUGUUUGCUAUUUCCCCAAAAGGAAAUUGAAGUAUACAGAAUGCUUAUUUGGUCUACUCAGUAUCAUCCUAAAUGUAUGUACCAAUGCUUAGGAGUUUGCAGUUCACCCGCAAACCUCAGCGAUCCAAGCUCCCCUGGAUGACCAUCACUCACCAAGAAAAGAGCAAUAACAGGACCUGUUUUGCUAAUCCAGGACUGUUCUCCAGCACUAACUCUAAAUAAUCCCUUCU